GCGGUGGUAGCUCAGUGGUAGAGCAGCGGGCUGCAGUGUCCUCACCGGAGUCCUGAAGGUCACCAGUUCAAUUCUGGUUCACCGCU